CACGUAGGGUGCGAGCGUUGUCCGGAAUUAUUGGGCGUAAAGAGCUCGUAGGCGGUGUGUCGCGUCGGCCGUGAAAACCUGCAGCUUAACUGUGGGCUUGCGGUCGAUACGGGCAUCACUGGAGUUCGGCAGGGGAGACUGGAAUUCCUGGUGUAGCGGUGAAAUGCGCAGAUAUCAGGAAGAACACCCGUGGCUAAGGCGGCUCUCUAGUACGGGUAC
rnacentral:rRNA from 1 species